rnacentral:sRNA from 2 species
UGUAUCUGAAGUCUGACGAGGAUGAGAACCUCCGGGGGCAAGAGGUUCGACCCGAGCGAAGCGAGAGAACGUUGCGUCAGCAACGGCCCGCAGGGCGAGCCAUCCUCUAUCACCGGCA